AUCACUCUGAGACCACUGAUAACACAGCUUGGGUUCCUUUGUGCUUUCAGAGGACUUUUGCUGCUGGAUUUGCUGUCGCCAGUCAAAGGACAAGGUUAAAUCUCAGAUCACAGCUAAGAGAAAGUGCUGCUGAGCUGCAUGGGAGUGCAAAUGCAACCCAAACCUUCUUUUCCUGAAAUGGAAUCAACUUUCAUCUAGCAACAUCAACACUGUUGGCUCCUUCCUCUUCCCUGCCCUCACUUCAUGUACUGCGAAGUUGAGCAGCACAGAAUUGGGCUGCAGCAGAACUGCCAAGCAGGCUUUGCAUGCCACUGCGUGAGCCUUCCUCUCCUAAGAUGGGUUGACCUGGUCACUGGGGAGAAAUGUUCUCAGAUCUAUGAUGAUCCAGAGGAGACUGGGACUUGAAAGAACUUAUGCAAGCGCAAGCCAGGAGCUGCUCUGAGUAGAAUCAGACCCAUUUAUGCUGGGGGUGAGCUGCGUGGAUGCAAGCUGCUGUGGGUGUGAUGCUGAGCAGAGCUGUUGGGGUUGCAUUGAGGAGGAACAUGGACACGGAUGCUGGGGGUGAUUCUUGGCACCUGGAGGCAAAGCACAGCAACAGCUGUCCUGCUGCCCAGCACCAAAGCUCUCUACAUCUUCACGGGACCCAUCACAAUGCCUGCGCUGAUGGCUGUAUUGUGAGUGUUGCUAAUGGGGAAAAGCCACCCGUCGUCCCCUUGGAUAGAGCACUUCAUUGCGCUUCGUGGAGAAAUGGAAGAUUAGAAGUCUACCACAGAGAAGGAAGAUAACAUUAUGAGCUUGAUUCUGCACUUCUGACCUUCUUUUAAACCAGCCAUCGCCUACCCGUCUCGAUGCGCAGUUUCAUGGAGGUCGUGUGCUCCCUGUGCCUGUUCCUGGCCACACACCAGUACCACCCCGCGUCCUCCUCCCGCAGGUGGCUCAUCACCACGGUGUAGGUCCCACUGUCCUGCUCACUGUUGCUGAUCCAUAUGCGCCCUUUGUAGGACUCGUGCACAAACCCGUCUGUGUCUACCAGCAGGGAGCAGCUGGCCUCCUGCCACCUGCACAGGUACUUGGUGGUGUAGCUGCCCACGGGGUUGUGGUGGCACCUAAGGGACAGUGAGCCCCCCAGCCUGCCAUGCAGAAACUUCAACCUCCGGGGCUGGGCAGGGACUGCAGGUAGAAGAAAUCAUGGUUAUGUUUGAUGUAGCUGCAAUGAGCCAAUGGGGCACAGCAGCCCCCAAAACCCCCUCCUACCUGUGGUCACCUGCAGGGCCACCAGCUGCCAGCUGUCCCAGUCAGCUGGGCUGCCCAUCCCACACUUGUACAGCCCUGCAUCGUCCAACCUUAAAUCAUUUAUCAGCACUUUGAAUGCUCCAGAGCUCUCCUGGGGGGUAAUACAGAUCCGUCCCUCGUAGCUCUUCCCCACAUAGCCAUCGGUGUCAGCAAUGAGGAUGCACCUGCUUCUCCCCACUCUGCACCAUAGCCUCCUGGUGCCACCCCAGCUGUCCCCGGGUGGGCAGGGGAUGGUGAUGGAGCCACGGAGCUCCCCGAGGUGCAGCUCAAUUGGCCUCUGAGUGCCCACAUCUGCAAAGACAGAGCAGGUGAGUGCCACCACUGUGCCUGGUUGGGUGUCACCUCCUUUUGCAUUGGUGCAUUGGUCACAUCAGUGGGUUUUAUGCCCACGACUGCUUAAAGCAAAGGGUAGCAAAGGGGACCUGACACCCUCCCUGUCCCAUCACUGUACCUGCUGACACUGUCAGGUUCAGGCUGACGUAGAGGUCCCUGUUGGUGGGGCCAAUGCCACAGCGGUAGGUCCCCGUGUCACUUGUCUUCAGCUGUGUCAUUGUAACCAUGAAAGUGCCAUGCUGGGGGACGUCCUCCAGGGCCACUCGGCCCAUGUGGUCUUUUGAGAUGAAGUUGGUGGUGGAGAUGAUGGUGUAGCAAAUCCCAUCUCUGUCCCUUUUACACCAAAACUUUCUGUCGUACUUGUUGGCAGGCGUGAUGGAGUAGAAGCACUGGUGGGUGAUGGACCCUCCAACUGCGCCUGUCAAAAACCUGGGCCCAUACAAGGUGCUCGAGGCUGCCUCUUUGGGGAAGGAGGGAAGAAGCACAUUAAUCAGAGACGUGGACACCCCUGUGGAUGGGGAAUCUUCCCCAACCCAAAUGGGGUGCCACAGGCACAGGUCCACCAGCCCUGGCUGUCCUGCCCCAUAGUGAUGGGAAGCAGCAAACCUCCAGCAGGAACCUUUGGUGCCUGCAGAGUUUUCUGGUGACUCACCUUGCAGCAAAGACACAAAGAGGAGGAGAACCUCCAUGUCUGCCCUUCUCGAAUGUUUACUUGGCAAACUUCCGAAUCUCAUUUUGGAUACUGGCUUUUGCUGGUGUCUCUGUGAGCAAACAGAAGGGAGAUUGUGGUUUGGAUGUACAGAGCUGAAUAACUCCAAAAAGGCGUGCAGAGAGUUUGAGGAUGGCAGCAGUGAUUCCCAAGCCCAGCUGCAGCCAUGACCCAUGGCACCUCACUGGGUCUUGCCCAGACCUCUGCAGCCCAACCUGGGGGCAUCAAACAUGCUUAUCUUUUCUUUUUUUUCCAGUGCAAAACACAACAGCAAGGCCUGCAGUUCUCAGGAAUCCCACCAGCAUGCCUUGCGCUCCUCCUGCCUGAACCACCUGAAUGCUCAUCCUCUGGCACCACACUCUCAAAGAUUCCAGGACAAAAGUCUGUUUUCUGCCUCAACGUUUGUUACAGCUUCUCACUGCAGCGAGCCCAGCUCUACAGUGUUAAAGGCUGCACUGCUGUGCGGUGAUUUCCAGGAAGUCACAACCCGGGCUCGGAGGGGGCCUGGAUGACACCUGGAGGGCAGCUGGGAUCUCUCCAUGCCCAAAGCAGCAGAAGGAGCAGCAGUGACCCCGCAGGACCCCACGGGCUGUCAAUGGGGCAACUAAACAAAACAUCCAAGCGGUGACACCGAGGCAUCUCCCUCACACGGACCUCCUGCUCUGUUAGUGGGUUUGCAAUGCAGACAUGAUAAAGCAAAGCUGAACGCUCUGGAUUCAAUACAACUGAUUUUUCAAUUUAAAAAUACUCCAACUGAGCAAUAAUCCCCCAGAAGUAUUUGGACACGCUUUCAGGAAUCCACCCAAGGUACAAGGCUAAAAAAUUCUAAGUGUUGCUCCCGAAAGUCCACGCCGUUGCAAACGUGGCAGACAAUAAAUACCUAUCUUCCUCUUCUACAGCACUUUUGUUUCGAAGACACCCAAAGUACACCUCUCUGAGGUAGGUAUUGUCCAUGUAACAGAUGGCAAAUGGCGAGGAACAGCUCCUUGCCCGAGGCACCUCACCUCUUCAGUGUGAAAGCUGAGAACAUGAUUUAGGGUCGAUAGUCUCUUGGUCUCAUUCCUAGACAGCAUUUUGCCUCAAGUCGUUGUAUCAGUGUAAUCUUCAAGUUCCCUCUUUAGGUUCAUAAGCAUCAGCUUCUUGAGGGCUGUUGGUAGUGAUUUGUUUUUUCUCAUGAUGGAUGAAAAGCAAAGUGUGGUUUAACACCGCAAGCUAAGUGGUUUUCUAUUGGAAACUCCCAACAGUAUGAACGUGUGUUUUAAUACUGAAAUAAAAAGAAAGCUGGUCCAUAGUGCUUUUGGCAAUUCUAUUCUUUAUCCUUAAUUAUUCUUGCCUCAAUUUAGCAAAGCACUUGGCAAUUAUGCUCUGUUUCCUGUGAGAUCCCCUCAGUGUCUCAAGGUCCAACUCAGGUGAGAACUUCAGUGAAAUAUGCUGCCUACAGAAAACAGGAUCUUCUGCGCCAGUUCAGCUACAUGCCUCAGUGAACGGAGGCCCUUAAAACUAAGGUUGAUUUCAUUUGGAAAGCGGGUUUGCUUCUGCCUCAAACUGAAGAUGCACGUUCCUGCUCUCCAUUUGUAGAAGAGCAA